AGAGUUAAACAGUACGUGAAAUUGUUGAAAGGGAAACGAUUGAAGUCAGUCGUACCGGCGGUAAUCAGCCAUCUGGGUGCGAUUAUGUCGGGUGAUGAGGAGCUUAACCGUCCUCGCGCCUGCGUAUUUGUGCCUUAUUGGUGUACUUAUUCGCAUGGUAGGUUAACAUCAAUUUCGGUCGUCAUAAAAUGGCGGGGGGAAUGUAGCUUUGAUCUCGCAUUAAAGUGUUAUAGCCUCUGGUAGAUGUGAUGAUCGGGAUUGAGGAUUGCAACGAACCCUUCGGGGCCACCCGUCUGGUCUCUGGUGGUCACUCUGGCAUCGAAAGCUUGCUUACGGUCGUCAAAGUUGGUUGCCAAAAGGUUUAGAACGGGUUGAAUUCGUUAAGGAUGUUGACGUAAUGGCUUUAAACGACC
rnacentral:rRNA from 1 species